GAUAAAUUCGACUUAGAUUUGAGUGUUCUGCACAUUUCCCAUGCCGUCGACGACAUGGUCAAGAAGCGAUUCAACGAGUACCGCAGUGACUUACACAAGCAGUACAAGCGGUGCAUGAGCCACGAGGAGGCCGUACAGUCCGCACCGCCGUACAUGACCCAUGACAACUAGCGGAUACUCUGUGAUAGAUUUUUGUCUGAUUCUUUUUAGGAGAGGAGCAAAAUAAAUUCUAACAACAGGAGAAAGUUAGAAGUGAACCACGUGGGUGGUUCAAAGUCAUUUGUACGACUUUGUCACGACAUGCGAGAUUCCAUCACUGGCCAGGAGCCCGGACCAGUAGACCUCUACAAAGGGACUCACUGUCGGCAGGCAACAGGAGCUUGGGUACAUCCUAGAGCCAACGAGAAUUAGG